CCCUAGCCCGAUAGUAACGGUUACCCCGCAACACGACUAAGCCUUAGCCAUGGCGUGAGGAGUAUGAGUGGAUAGCGGGAUAAAGC
rnacentral:misc_RNA from 1 species